rnacentral:rRNA from 1 species
UACGGGGGGGUAAGCGUUGUUCGGAAUUACUGGGCGUAAAGGGCUCGUAGGCGGCCAACUAAGUCAGACGUGAAAUCCCUCAGCUUAACUGGGGAACUGCGUCUGAUACUGGAUGGCUUGGAUUCGGGAGAGGAAUGCGGAAUUCCAGGUGUAGCGGUGAAAUGCGUAGAUAUCUGGAGGAACACCGGUGGCGAAGGCGGCAUCCUGGACCAAUAUUGACGCUGAGGAGCGAAAGCCAGGGGAGCAAACGGG